rnacentral:lncRNA from 1 species
AGAUGUCCAAGAAUCCAAGCUGUCCAGACGCUUCUUUUUGAAAUUGUCCAUGACCGGAAUUUGGAACUUCCUUCUAGAAGCCACCACUGGCGGAGGCGGAGGUGGAGAUGGAGAUGGUGGGGAGACUGGUUGGUUGGUAAUUCCUUUAUCCGUCUUGUUCUUCCUCCCUGAUCGGAAUACUUGAAAUAAACAAGAAAUCAUGUUGAUUUGCAGAAAUCAACUGUAAAGCAGCAUGGAUUUGGUUCAGACAAUUUAAGCUUACACUCAAACAUGGCUGCCCGCUAGCUUCUAGAACAUGGAGAACACCAGAUGUAUUCCGCCGAUCGAUCCAGUCUUCCUUCUUUGAGAGGAUGAGAAAGCUUUGGUUUCUUUGUUUAUUUGUUUCGCACGUUCGUUCAUGAACUAACCUGUUCUUCUCCGUUUCCCACAAAAUUUCCACCCAUUAUUUUUU